rnacentral:misc_RNA from 1 species
UUCUUGUCUCAGCAACCCAGAAGGCUUGGAUGGACUUGUUCAGUAUACCAGUACCAGGAUCCGGUGGCAAAACUUGCUCCCAGAUUUUUGAAGAAGCUGGUUGUGACACGCCUGCAAGUCCUAGUUGCAGUGCUUGCAUGGGACGCCCUAAAGACACCUUGCACGCAUGAAUAAACCCAUGGUGUGCCUGUCGACGACAAACAGAAACUUCCCAAGGCGUAUGGGACACAAAGAAGGUCAGAUAUAUCUUGCUUCACCUUAUAUGGCAGCG